GCUGCUGCUGAUGGAGGGGACUGGCGGCAACGGAACCAUCGACCCCUCUACGGAUCUCAAAACCAUAAUGGACUGAAGAGCGAUAAAAAAAAUUUAAAAAAAUAUUUAAUUCAAAUCUUUCUAGUUUGGCCACCAUCCAGCAGAGGGCGCCGCUGGUUAUCCUUAAGCGGAGCCGUUGAUACAGAAACAAAGACGCCGGAAGCCAUACCAGAACGGGAAAGAGAAACGCUGGAAGAGAGUGCAAUUCUGUUUGAAAUAAAUACUCCUUAAGUUAAUCUCCUUAA